GGUAGCGUGUCCGAGCGGCCUAAGGAGUGCGUCUUGAAAACGCAUGAGGGUUGAUCCCCUCCGUGGGUUCGAAUCCCACCGCUACCG
rnacentral:tRNA from 1 species